UACCAUAUUUAGCUUUAGUAGCUGUAAUUUAUUUGUAUCGCCGCAGUUUGUAGCGGUGGAUAUCCAGAAUAGUGUAGAAUGAAAUUACGCUCGUGCUGAAAUGCGGAGUUUAUUUUUACAGUAGUGUAUAGACUGUUCCGGACUGUCGGGUGCCGUGGUGGUUGACGGUGGACCCAGUUUGCUGUUUGUAUAUCGGAUUGUGCCGAGGGCACGUGAGUUUUGAUGGUUAGACCAGUUUG
rnacentral:lncRNA from 1 species